UUUCCGGUUGAUCCUGCCGCCGGACACUGCUAUCGAGUUCCGACUAAGCCAUGCGAGUCACAGGCCGUAAGGUACUGGCAGACGGCUCAGUAACACGCGGAUAAUCCACCCUUAGGUGGGGCAUAUCCUUGGGAAACUGAGGUUAAUUCCCCAUAGAUCCCGAAAACUGGAAUGUCACGGGUUCUGAAAGUUACGACGCCUAAGGACGAGUCUGCGGCUUAUCAGGCUGUAGGUGGGGUAAAGGCCCACAUAGCCUAUGACGGGUACGGGCCCUGAGAGGGGUAGCCCGGAGAUGGGUUCUGAGACACGAACCCAGGCCCUACGGGGCGCAGCAGGCGCGAAACCUUCGCAAUGCGCGCAAGCGCGACGAGGGGAACUCGGGUGCCAUUGUCAUUUUUGAUGAUGGCUUUUCUUGAUCCUAAAAAGAUCAGGGAAUAAAAGCUGGGUAAGACGGGUGCCAGCCGCCGCGGUAAUACCCGCAGCUCAAGUGGUGGCCACUAUUAUUGAGCCUAAAGCGUCCGUAGCCGGUCUUGUAAAUCUCUGGGUAAAUCCUGCCGCUUAACGGUGGGAAUGCUGGAGAGACUGCAAGACUGGGGAUCGGGUGAAGCGAGAGGUACUCCUGGGGUAGGGGUAAAAUCCUGUAAUCCUGGGGGGACGACCGGUGGCGAAAGCGUCUCGCUAGAACGACUCCGACGGUGAGGGACGAAGGCUAGGGGAGCAAACCGGAUUAGAUACCCGGGUAGUCCUAGCUGUAAACACUGCCCAUUUGAUGUUGCUUUUCCGUUGAGGGAAGGCAGUGUCGGAGCGAAGGUGUUAAAUGGGCCGCUUGGGAAGUAUGGUCGCAAGACUGAAACUUAAAGGAAUUGGCGGGGGAGCACCGCAACGGGAGGAAUGUGCGGUUUAAUUGGAGUCAACGCCGGG
rnacentral:rRNA from 1 species